ensembl:snoRNA snoRNA:nop5-x16-a
AAACAGAUUUCCAGUGAUGAUACCCAAAAGGUUUCGCAUGUAUCCGAUUAAGAUGACGAUAAACCUUGGCUGUCUGAGCGAAAUUGGGUUUACAAUCAGGC